AGAAAACCAUUUUCAUGGUUUUGGACAGAGAACCAGGCACCGAGGCGCCCAUUUUAAAAGAAAAAAUGAGUUGGGGACCUUUUUGUUCACUUUUGAAACUUCAGGGACCAAGGCUGCAAUUUUCCUAGGUUUUAAUAUAAAACCAGCAGCUGAGUUUUCAUUUGCAGUUCUUCAGUUCGAUCUUCUGCUGGGUUCUGUUUUCUGCUGGGUUCUUUCUUUUUUUUCAUUUUGCUUUCAUUUUCUUUUCUUUUUCUUGGUUAUUUUGGAGAUAUAACAUAGAGUAACAGGGAGAUAACAUCAAGGAUUUGGCAAAGCAUUUGGGGAAAAUCAUAGUCAAUCUACAAAAAAGGGUUUUAUCUAUAUCUUUGUAUUUUCUUCAUCAUUUAGCCUUAUUUGUAAUACAUUUGAUGAAUAUUCUCCUUGAUUAUCAUUUAUUUAACAUGGGCUAAGUAUUUUGUUGGGAUUUAUGGUAGUAGCUUGACAUAGGUUUAAUUGAUUUUCAAUAUUUGCUAUUUGAUAUUAAAUUGCCCAUUUCCAUGUGUUUCUAUUAUUAUAUUUAUUGCAUUUUCAUUUAUGUGGCCAAUGAAUGAAUAUGUUUCGUGAAGUGUACAUAGUUCGAGAGAAGAUUGUGUAUUUUAGACCAAAUGGUAGAAACUCUAGGUUUGUAUAGAGGAUAGAUAUAUAUCUUUAGCCCUAUGUGACCCAAUGAGCUAUUUUCAUAACAAUUUAAUGCUGUUAUUUAGUUGUAAUCGACAUAGAGAUAUAAUAGGUUAAACCAAUCAAUUAUGGUUAAUUUCACUCGAGAGAGGUAAUUAGCUAAAAUUGAAGAAUCGGAUCUAACAUCGUAAAUGAGUAAUUCGUUAAUUGGCAUAUGGAGAAAUUAAUUAGGCGACGGCUAAGCGAAACCAUGAAUCUCAAUCACGUUUUCCUCCAAAAUUCCCAAGAUUUCCAUAUUUUCCUAUUUUGUAUUUUUUUUUCUUUAGUUUCUAAAAUCAACUCUUUGUUGUGUAUUUGUUUAUUUUCAUUGUUAGAAUUAAAUUGAUUAAAGUUGUGUAAUUUAAAUUAAACAUUCCUCGAGGGAUCGACAACUCGGACUUCAAAUGUCCACUUUAUUACUUGAACGCGACCCGUGCACUUGCAGUAUGAUUUUAGCGAACAAGUUUUUGGCGCCGUUGCUGGUGAAUGUUUUAUUUCAAUUAUCAUCUUUUGUUGAUUCUAAUUUUUACAAGUUUCGUUCUUUUUUUCUUUUGCAUAGCUUUUAUAUAUUUAUUGUGUAAUUAACUUUUAACCUUAGGUCUUUGGUGGUGCAUGCUUCGUUCGAGAAGUUUUGAUCUUUUCGAGCUUGAUCCGGAUAUUGAAAAACCUUUCCAAAGAAGGCGACGGGAACAAAGGGAAUUGAGAAGGCAACAAUUGAUUGAGAUGACACACCAAGGGAGUAAUUUGGAACAUAAUGCUCAACCGGAAAAUGUUCCUCGAGGCGGCAUUCCACCGGGUUUUGGUAACCAAGCGGGUAGAGUUCAAGAGCCUAUUGUAAAUGAGGAAGAUAUACUGUUUGGGAACUUCAUGAACCCACCCGUAGUAGAGAAUGAAUCAAGUAUUGUUUACCCUCCAUAUUGACAUCCAAACUUUCAACUUCGUCCGGAUGUUAUUAGUUUGUUCUCCAAUACCAUUCCAUUCUAUGGAAGGAUUGAUGAGAACCCUCACUCACAUGUUGCACGAUUCAUAGAGAAUGUUGAAAAUUUUAAAUAUGAAGGCGUAAAUGUGGAGACGAUCCGGAUGAGGUUAUUUGUUCACACAUUGAAGGAUAAGGCAAGGGAAUGGCUUGAGACUCUACCGCCCAGAAGUAUAAAUAGUUGGUUGGAAUUUAUUCAAAAAUUCACAGCCAAAUUCUUUCCACCCGCCUGAGUAGCCAAACUCAAGCAUGACAUAACCACUUUCCAACAAUCCGAAUUUGAGAGCUUUCACGAGGCUUGAGAAAGGUUCAAGGAUAUGCUUCGAAAAUGUCCAAAUCAUGGAAUCACAAUGGGGCAACAAGUGAAUCAUUUUUAUGCCGGGUUGACUCCUUCUUGCCGUUCAAAUGUGGAUUCAUCAUCUAAUGGCUCAAUCAAGAAGAAGAAUAUUCGGGAAGCAUAUGAUCUAUUUAAGGUCAUGAGUGAACAAAGUGCUAUGUGGCCGGAUAGAGGUUCACAAAGAGGGGUUGGUGGAGUUCGAGAUGGUGAAGCUUUCUCAAUGGUUCUAGCAAAGAUCGACUCACUAGCAAAGAAGGUAGAAGGACUUUCUUCAUCUACCUCGAGCUCUCAUUCCGCUCAUAUGGUACAAUCUCCACCUAUUUGUGAUAUUUGUGAACCAAAUCACCGAAGCCCGAGUUGUCCAUUGAUAGGUAGUGGUUCAGCAUCUACCGAGCAAGUGGUAUAUACUCAAAACUUUCAACGCCAAGGAUACAAUCCUUAUUCGCAAACUUAUAACCCCAGUUGGUGAAAUCAUCCGAACUUUUCUUAUGGAAAUAAUCAAAAUGUGCUCAACUCGAAGCCACAAGAGAAAAAAAAGGUUGGGAAGAGGCUAUUGCUAAGUUGGCAAACCAUCAAUUAUAAUAUUAAGAAAGCAAUGAUGCCUCUUUGAAAAACUUGGAAUGUCAAGUGGGUCAAAUUGCCAAGCUUAUCUUCGAAAGGCAAUAGCGGGCAUUGCCUAGCAACACCGAAACAAAUCCAAGGGAGAAUGUACAAGCUAUUACCACUAGAAGUGGGGUGCAAUUGCCCGAAAUCACGGUGACACGCCCUAAGGGUCAAACCGACAAGACACCCAUUGAAGAAGAAAGGAUUAUGCAAGAACCUAGUCCAAAGGACGAGACACUAAUUGAAGAAGAAUCGGAGCCAUCAACAUCAAAGGCUCCAAUACCGGUCAAAGCCUAUGUGCCUCAUAUUCCCUUCCCACAAAGGCUUCACAAACAGAAAUUGGAUGCUCAAUUUGGAAACUUUUUGGAGAUAUUCAAGAAGCUACACAUAAACAUUCCAUUUGCCGAUGCAUUAGCUCAAAUGCCGAAUUAUGCCAAAUUUAUGAAGGACAUUCUUUCAAACAAAAGGAAACUAGAAGAACAUGAGACAGUAAUGCUAACGGAAGAGUGUAGUGCUAUCCUUCAGAAGAAGCUACCACCGAAAAUCAAAGAUCCAGGGAGUUUUACUAUUCCAUGCACUAUUGGAGAUUUAAAUUUUAGUAAAGCUUUAUGUGAGCUUGGUGCCAGUAUUAGUUUGAUGCCUUUGUCUAUUUUCAAGAAGCUGGGAUUGGGAGAAGCUAAGGCCACCACUGUAUCAUUACAAUUGGCUGAUUGAUCAAUUAAAUAUCCUCGGGGUGUCAUUGAGGAUGUAUUGGUCAAGGUGGACAAAUUCAUAUUUCCAGCUGAUUUCAUAAUUCUUGACAUGGAAGAGGAUCAUGACAUCCCUAUCAUUUUAAGACGACCAUUUCUUGCCACCGGUCGAGCUUUGAUUGAUGUGCAAAAGGGGCAGCUCGUUCUAAGAGUCCAAGAUGAAAAAGUUACAUUCAAUAUCUUGAAGGCCAUCAAGUAUCCAUCGGAAUCUGAUUCAUGCCUUCGAGUGGAUGUUGUUGAUCAUGUGGUUGCCGAGUCUUUUUACAGGCUUUCUAAGGAUCCUCUAGAAGCAUGUCUUGUUUAUCCUUUGGCUAUCAAAGAGGAAGACCCUAAAGUUGAGCAUAUGGUACACUAUUUGGAGGCUACACCUUCUCGGUCUUAUAAGAGAGCACCAAAUUAUGAGGACUUGGAAAAGAGCUCUUCACCACCACUGCCAUUUCUUCAGCAGACACCUAUACUUGAUUUGAAGCCUCUUCCAUCUCAUUUGAGGUAUGCUUAUUUGGGAGAGUCAUCUAUGCUUCCGGUUAUCAUUGCUAAUUUCUUAAAUGAAUUGGAUGAAGAGAAGUAACUCGGGUGUUAAGGGAGUACAAGGGAGCCAUUGGUUGGACUAUUACAGACAUUAAGGGAAUUAGUCCUUCACUAUGCAUGCAAAAAAUCCUUAUGGAGGAUGAUUUCAAAUCAUCAGUGGAGCAUCAAAGGCAAUUGAACCCCAACAUGAAAGAAGUGGUAAAGUAGCUUGAUGCGGGCAUUAUUUAUCCGAUUUCAGAUAGUACAUGGGUGAGCCCCGUUCAAGAGGUGCCAAAGAAAGGAGGUGUCACGGUUGUGGAAAAUGAGGAUAAUGUACUUAUACCUACUAGACCCGUGAUCGGUUGGAGGGUAUACAUAGAUUACCGCAAGCUUAACAAGACUACAGGGAAUGAUCACUUUCCUCUUCCUUUUAUUGAUCAAAUGCUUGAGCGGUUAGCGGGGUAUUCUCAUUAUUGUUUUUUGGAUGGGUAUUCAGGCUAUAAUCAAAUUCCUAUAGCCCCAGAGGAUUAAGAGAAAACCACCUUCACAUGCUCAUAUGAUAUAUUUGCAUAUAGAAAGAUGCCCUUUGACCUUUGCAACGCACCCGCCACUUUCUAAAGGUGUAUGAUGGCUAUAUUCUCCGACAUGGUGGAGAAAUUUACUGAGGUUUUUAUGGAUGACUUCUCGGUAUGUGGGGCCUCAUUUGAUGGAUGUUUGAGCAAUUUAGAGAUAGUGUUGAAAAGAUGUGAGGAGACAAAUUUAGUACUUAAUUGAGAAAAAUAUCAUUUCAUGGUCCAGGAAGGCAUAGUUUUCGGCCAUCGGAUUUCACGUAAAGGGAUAGAGGUUUACAAGGCAAAAAUCCAAGUCAUUGAGAAAUUACCUCUACAUACCUUGGUGAAAGGGAUAAGGAGUUUUUUGGGGCAUGCCGAAUUUUAUAGGAGGUUUAUCAUGGACUUUUUGAAGAUCACAAAUCCACUUUGCUCCUUACUUGAGAAGAACACUCCAUUUGAUUUCUCUCAAGAGUGCCUCCAUGCUUUUAACACUCUUAAAGAGAAACUCAUCACGGCUCCUAUCAUUGUAGCUCCGGAUUGGAAUUUACCAUUUGAGCUUAUGUGCGAUGCAAGCGAUUAUGCCGUUGGAGCAGUUUUAGGGCAAAGGAGAAAUAAAAUCUUGCAUGUUAUUUACUAUGCUAGCCGGACUUUGACUGAUGCUCAACUGAACUAUGCCGUUACUGAAAAAGAGAUGCUCGCAGUGGUAUUUGCAUUUGAUAAAUUUCGAUCUUACCUCAUUGGAUCGAAAGUGAUUGUUUACAGGGACCACUCAGCCCUCAAGUAUUUGCUAGCAAAGAAAGAUGCCAAACCUCGGUUAAUUAGAUGGGUCCUUCUUCUACAAGAGUUUGACUUGGAAAUUCACGAUAAAAAAGGGACCGAAAAUGUUGUUGCCGAUCAUCUGUCUCGACUUGAGAAAACCAAAGAGGUAGUGGAUAGGGAGAUAAAUGAGGUAUUUCCCGAUGAACAACUCUUGCAAAUUAUGCAUCUUCUACAAGCCACCCAUAUACCAUGGUAUGCGGACCAUGUGAACUUUCUUGCUAGUGGCAUCAUUCCCUCGGAUCUCUCUUACCAACAAAGGAAGAAGUUCUUUGCCGAUAUCAAGCAUUAUUUUUGGAACGAUCCAUUGUUGUUCAAACAGAGCCCGGAUCAAAUUAUACGGAGAUGUGUGCGGAAGAUGAAAUGGAGCAAAUCCUUGAACAAUGUCAUUCCUCACCCUAUGUUGGUCACUUUGAGGCCCUGAAAAUCGCAUCAAAGGUACUUCAAUUCGAUUUUUAUUGGCCUACAUUAUUCAAAGAUGCUCAUAUUCUUGUCUCCAAGUGCGACAAAUGCCAACGCAGUGGUAAUAUUUCCAACCGAAAUGAAAUGCCUUUGAAUUUUAUAUUAGAGGUGGAAAUUUUUUAUGUAUGGGGUAUUGAUUUUAUGGGACCUUUUCCUCCUUCAUUCUCAAAUCAAUACAUAUUGGUAGCGGUUGAUUAUGUGUCAAAGUGGGUAGAAGCGGUGACUUUGCCCACUAAUAACGCUCGGGUAGUAGUAAACUUUUUAAAGAAAAAUAUUUUCUCUCGCUAUGGCACCCCCCGAGCUAUCAUUAUGGAGGUAAAAAUUUUUGUAAUCGCCUCUUCGACUCAGUAUUGACCAAAUAUGGAGUAAAGUAUCGUGUAGCCACUCCCUAUCAUCCCCAAACUAGUGGCCAAGUUGAAAUUUCGAAUCGGGAGUUGAAGAGGAUUCUUGAAUUGACGGUGAGUGCCUCUAGAAAAGAUUGGUCCAAGAAAUUGGAUGAUGCAUUAUGGGCUUAUUGUACCGCGUUCAAAAUGCCCAUUGGUAUGUCUCCCUAUCGUCUUUUGUUUGGAAAAGCUUGCCACCUCCCAGUAGAACUUGAGCAUCAAGCUUAUUGGACAGUGAAAGCUUUGAAUUUUGAUGUGAAAUUGGCCGAUGAGAAAAGAUUGCUCCAAUUGAAUGAACUGGAUGAAGUCCGCCUUGACUCUUAUGAGAAUGCUCAAAUUUACAAAGAAGAGACAAAGAAAUGGCAUGAUAAACACAUUGUGAAAUGCGAGUUCUUUGUUGGGCAACAAGUUCUUCUCUACAAUUCUCGACUCCGAUUGUUUCCCGGAAAGCUCCGCUCAAGAUGGUCUGGUCCUUUUACCAUUGCUAAGAUUUUUCGACAUGGAGCAAUUGAACUUCAUCAUGAGGAAAAGGGAAAUUUCAAGGUUAACGGGCAACGAUUGAAACCAUACUUUGAAGGUGAUUUUUCUAAGGAGAAGUCCUCCAUUCCUCUUGCCAAUUUGGAGUGAACAAGGCCUAUAGUCGAGCUAGGGACUAUAACCAAGCGCUUUUUGGGAUGCAACCCAACUUUCUUAUCCUUAUACUUUUGUUAUUACAUUUUGAAUUAAUACAAUUCUUUUGUAGGUCAAAAUUUUUGUAGUCCUAGCCACCCAUAGAUCUCAACAAAUUUGGGGGUGCCUGGUCCCCAAAGUCAUAAACAAAAAAUUCAUCUACAACAUCCUUCAAAAAAAUCUAAUCGGCGAAGUUUCGUUAUCCCUCUCCUCUUUAUCUUGUUUUUUACACAUUGAGGACAAUGUGUGGUUUAAGUUUGGAGGUGAUUGUGCUUGAAUUGGUGAUAUUAUGUUGAUGUGCUAGAUAGCCUUGCCGGCUUUGCAUGGUUUUGAUGUUUGAAAUUGUUAUUGAUUCAUGAGUUAUGCAUAUAUGACCAAAUAUGCUAUUUGUGCGUAAUUUUUUCCCAAAAAAAAUAAAAAUUGCUUAUCUAUUGUGAGAUUUUGAAUUACUUUGGGCACAAUAGUCAUGAUUAAUUGUUAUCUAGAUGUGGAAAAUUUUUGAUUGAAGGAUAUAUUUUUGAAUUGCUUGAACUAGGUUGUGACUUGUAAGUUGUUUGGAAAUUUUUAUCAAUCUGUAUUCUCUUUUCUUUCACUUUAUCAUAUUAUGAGAUAAGUUUGGAGGUGGUCGAGCCGGUGAAGAAGAUUAUCUAGAAGUGUGUGAUUUCGUGCAUGUUGAAAAUAUUUGUGUAGAGUGUCUGUUACCGAGUAUAAGCUAGGUAAUGACCAUAUGCUAGGGAUCUAAGCCCCAUUUUUGUUGUGUUAAAAAAAAAUGGAGUUAUUGUACUUGUUGAAUCUUGGGCCUCACUUUGUAGCCUUUUUGACUUGAGUUAUUAAGUGCGUAGGGGUAUUUUGUAACCCGGUACCCUUUGGCCUAAACAACCGGAGAGUUAUCGACCUAAAGCUCGCUACAAGGGUCAAAAAAAAAGUUUAAGGGAGUGAGGUAAAACAUGGGAUUCGGCUAAAAAGGAAAAAAAAAAAAAAAAAAAGAGAAAAAAAUGUUAUUGAUAUUUGGGCUUAGAUAACUAGUGAGUUUGAAUUGCUUAGUAUAAACUUGAAUGUGAAAGCACUCAUUAGUAGAGAAUCAUCACAUAACUAGAGAUUGAUAUUACUAGUUAGACCCAAUCGAACUAGAGCGGGAAAAGAAAUGAGUGACUUGAGAGCAGCCUUAUAUUUACACCUCGGGGAAAGAAAUGAAUAUCUAUUUGAGGAGUGUAAAUUCCACGAGUGGGAAAGGAAAUAUUUGACUACAAAGGGUUGGGUUGGAGAGAAUCUGAAGAUUUUUCCGUCUUGACAAAUUUUUCCUAAUUUAGAUGAUAAUUGAAAGUGAUUUUACACAUAUACACCGAUCGAACAUUGGAUAAACUCAAAUUAUUUUUGUUAGCAUUAUUUGGAGCAUAUUUGUGAAUUGAUUAUACAAUUUUACACUCAUUGAUAUUUUUGGCAAGCUAUUUAGUGUGUUGACCAUGAUCACUUUUGCUUGAUUGUGUGGUAGAUAAUCUUGCUCGGGACGAGCAAGAGUUUAAGUUUGAGGGUGUGAUAAGUGUGUUUUUGCACACUUAUUGGGCACUUAAUUUGAUAUAAUUAUUGGUAAAAAGAAUGAAAUUCUACUCAUAGUUAAAUAAUAUUUGCUUUUGUAGGUAAAAAUCACCCAAAGAAAAGAGAACAAGGCAAAAGGAGGAAAAAUGACUAAAAUUGUACAAAAUUGUGAAGUUGGAGGCUAAGGCAAAGAAGUCAAAAAGUGGAGGAUUUGGGAUGCAAUUUAUGGAGGGCAAAAUCGAAAUGGAAGUCAAAAUCCGAGGACCAAAUUGUACAAAAUCAAAGUAGAGGAACUAGCAUGCAAUGUUUGAAACUUGGCUGCAAAAAGAAAACCAUUUUCAUGCUUUUGGACAGAGAACCAGGCGCCGCGGCACCCAUUUUAAAAGAAAAAAUGAGUUGGGGGACCUUUUUGUUAACUUUAGAAACUUCAGGGACCAAGGCUGCAAUUUUCCUAGUUUCUAAUAUAAAACCAGCAGCUGAGUUUUUAUUUGCAGCUCUUCAGUUUGGUCUUCUGCUGGGUUUUUUUUUUUUUUUUUUUUUUUUUUUUUUUUUUUUUUUUUUUUUUUUUUUUUUUUUUUUUUUUUUUUUUUUUUUUUU
rnacentral:lncRNA from 1 species